GGAUCCUUAGCUCAGUUGGUCAGAGCAUCCGCCUCAUAAGCGGACGAUCCCGGGUUCAAGUCCCGGAGGGUCCA
rnacentral:tRNA from 1 species